GCGCGCCUGUAAUCCACGUUACCGGGAGGCUGAGGCUGGAGGAUCGUUUGAGCUCAGGAGCUCUGAGCUGCAGCGGACUAUGUCGAUCGGGUGUCCACACUAAGUUCGGUAUCGAUAUGGUGCUCCUGGGGGAGCCCGGGACCACCAGGUCGUCUAAGGAGGGGUGCACCGGCCCAGGUCGGACACGGAGCAGGUCAAAGCCCCCGUGCCGCUCAGUAGUGGGAUCGCGCCUGUGAAUAGACGCUGUAGUGCAGCCUGAGUAACACAGCGGGACCCAGUCUUUU
rnacentral:SRP_RNA from 1 species